GUCUGCCCGUUAUAAAGAGCAGUCUGGCCUGCCCCCUGAUGAGAAAUUUAAGGGCCGCGGUACCCUAACCGUGCGAAGGUAGCAUAAUAAUUAGUCUUUUAAUUGAAGACUGGAAUGAAAGGUCGGACAAAAAGCGAACUGUCUCAGCUUUAACCGUUAAAAUUAACUUCUAGGUGAAAAGGCCUAGAUAAAUUUGAAGGACGACAAGACCCUGUAAAACUUUAUACUCGAGGUGUAUCCCCCAAGCUGUUUGUGAAAAUUUGGCUACGCCGUAAAGUAUUACGUUGGGGAGACGAAAGUAUAACACGUAACUGCUUUUACUUUAGACAAUAAUCUUUGAUAAUCGUUGAUCCUUUUUAGAUUAUGAGAAAAAGUUACUUCAGGGAUAACAGCGUUAUUUUUUUUAAGAGUCCUUAUCGACAAAAAAGUUUGCGACCUCGAUGUUGAAUUAAAAUUUCCUUACAAUGCAGAAGUUGUACAGGUAGGUCUGUUCGACCUCUAAGAUUUUACAUGAUUUGAGUUCAAACCGGCGUGAG
rnacentral:rRNA from 1 species